UGGAUGCUUGAUUAUGCACUUCAACAGGUUGUUGCUAAACUAAGUCCAGCUCGGAAGAGAAAAGUGGCGAUGCUUGUAGAAGCGUUUGAAACAGUCACUCCCACUUUGGAAAUUAAAUUAUAAAUCCAUUAGGUAUGAUUAUGGAGUAACGGGGUGAUGACAAGGGAGCUAGUGGGUUAGCUCGAGAUAUUGCAUAAGAUAGGGGCAUUUUGGUCAUUUUACAUGUCGAACCACAUUGAUGUAUUUUUGGGUUAUUCACAUUUUCACAUUUCUUUAUGCACAAUAGUUAUUAUAAAUACUCCUUUGGGGAUUAUGAAAAUUUAUUAUUCAUGUUUUUGCCAUGUAUGUUAUGUAAGAAAUUUUAAGUCAACACGUCUUUUUGAGUGCA